rnacentral:rRNA from 1 species
UUCGGAUUGUAGUCUGNAACCCGACUACAUGAAGCUGGAAUCGCUAGUAAUCGCGGAUCAGAAUGCCGCGGUGAAUACGUUCCCGGGUCUUGUACACACCGCCCGUCACACCAUGGGAGUCGGAAAUGCCCGAAGUCUGUGACCCAACCGCGAGGAGGGAGCAGCCGAAGGCAGGUCGGAUGACUGGGGUGAAGUCGUAACAAGGUAAC